UCCGGUGUGCUUUAGUUGGCUAUAAUAUGUUAGGAUCGGAGCUUGAUUCGGGAUCCGCCUGACAAGACCCAAGUUCGAUCCUUGGCGCUGGAC